rnacentral:lncRNA from 1 species
UUAUUUUUAGCACCCGUCAUAUCGAAUGUUUAGAUACUAAUUAGGAGUAUUAAACGUAGACUAUUUACAAAACCCAUUACAUAAGACGAAUCUAAACGGCGAGACGAAUCUAUUAAGCCUAAUUAGUCCAUGAUUUGACAAUGUGUUGCUACAGUAAACAUUUGCUAAUGAUGGAUUAAUUAGGCUUAAUUAGGCUUAAUA